GUGUCAGCCGCCGCGGUAAUACGUAGGGUCCAAGCGUUAAUCGGAAUUACUGGGCGUAAAGCGUGCGCAGGCGGUUUUAUAAGCCAGAUGUGAAAUCCCCGGGCUUAACCUGGGAAUGGCAUUUGGGACUGUAAGGCUAGAGUACGGCAGAGGGGACUAGAAUUCCUGGUGUAGCAGUGAAAUGCGUAGAUAUCAGGAGGAAUACCGAUGGCGAAGGCAGGUCCCUGGGUCGAUACUGACGCUCAUGCACGAAAGCGUGGGGAGCAAACAGGAUUAGAUACCCUGGUAGUCCACGCCCUAAACGAUGUCAACUGGUUGUUGGGGAAUUGAUUUCCUUAGUAACGAAGCUAACGCGUGAAGUUGACCGCCUGGGGAGUACGGUCGCAAGAUUAAA
rnacentral:rRNA from 1 species